UACGGGGGGAGCAAGCGUUGUUCGGAUUUACUGGGCGUAAAGCGCACGUAGGCGGCGCCGUAAGUCAGGGGUGAAAUCCCGGAGCUCAACUCCGGAACUGCCCUUGAAACUGCAGUGCUAGAAUUCUGGAGAGGCGAGUGGAAUUCCGAGUGUAGAGGUGAAAUUCGUAGAUAUUCGGAAGAACACCAGUGGCGAAGGCGACUCGCUGGACAGACAUUGACGCUGAGGUGCGAAAGCGUGGGGAGCAAACAGG
rnacentral:rRNA from 1 species